rnacentral:tRNA from 1 species
UGGUCUGUGGCCAAGUCUGGUUAAGGUGCUUGUCUGAUAUACAAGUGAUCGUGGGUUCAAAUCCCUCCAGGCCAA